GUGAGAGUCAUGUUUUUUGACUUCUCCAGUGCCUUCAACACCAUCAAGCCGGCUCUCCUGGGUGAGAAACUGACAGCGAUGCAGGUAGAGCUCCCCCUUGUGUCAUGGAUUGUGGAUUAUCUAACUGGUAGACCACAGUAUGUGCGGAUGCAGCGGUGUUUGUCUGAUACAGUGGUCAGCAGCACCGGAGCUCCACAAGGGACAGUCCUCUCUCCCUUCCUCUUCACGCUCUACACCUCUGACUUCAGCUACCAGACAGAGUCAUGUCACCUUCAGAAGUUUUCUGAUGACUCUGCCAUAGUCGGAUGUAUCAGCAAAGGUGGAGAGUCUGAGUACAGGACUGUGGUUGACAACUUUGUUACAUGGUGCGAGCGGAACCAUCUGCUGCUCAAUGUGGCAAAGACAAGGGAGCUGGUUGUGGACCUGAGGAGGACCAAGACACUCGCGGCUCCAGUUUCCAUCGGUGGGCAGAGUGUGGACAUUGUGGAGGAUUACAAAUACCUGGGAGUGGUGUUGGACAAUAAACUGGACUGGACUAAAAAUACUGAAGCCCUCUACAAGAAGGGCCAGAGCCGCCUCUAUUUUCUGAGGAGGCUCCGGUCCUUUAACAUCUGUCGGACUAUGCUGAGGAUUUUUUAUGAGUCUGUGGUUGCCAGUGCCAUUUUGUUUGCUGUUGUGUGCUGGGGCAGCAGACUGAAAGCAGCGGACACAAACAGACUCAACAAACUGAUCAGAAGGGCCGGGGAUGUGGUGGGGGUGGAGCUGGACUCCCUGACAGCAGUGUCAGACAGAAGGAUGCUGUCUAAGCUGCAGGGGAUCCUGGAGAACAGCUUCCAUCCUCUACACCACGUGCUGCUGAAGUGCAGGAGUACGUUCAGUGCCAGACUGAUCCCUCCCAAAUGCAGCACUGAGCGCCACAGGAGGUCCUUCCUUCCUGUGGCCAUCAAACUGUACAACACCUCCCUCUGAGAUCAGAACACACUGUCUUGUAAUCUUAUCCAUAUUGGAUUUAUUCAGACAAGAUUUUACUGCACAUGGUACAAGUUGUAUUAUAUAUGACUUUAGUCUCC
ensembl:lncRNA